rnacentral:rRNA from 1 species
AAAAUGACUCUCGGCAACGGAUAUCUCGGCUCUUGCAUCGAUGAAGAACGUAGCGAAAUGCGAUACUUGGUGUGAAUUGCAGAAUCCCGUGAACCAUCGAGUCUUUGAACGCAAGUUGCGCCCGAAGCCAUUAGGCUAAGGGCACGCCUGCCUGGGUGUCACCAAUCGUUGCC